rnacentral:rRNA from 1 species
CGCUGCCUCUUUAGCCCAGCAAUGGUCUACGGAGGCAAUGUUCUGACUGUGAAGCCGGGCCGUGAGGCAACCGGUGGAGUGAUCAGAAGUGAGAAUGUUGACAUGAGUAGCGACAAACAGGGUGAGAGACCCUGUCGCCGAAAGUCCAAGGGUUCCUGCUUAAAGCUAAUCUGAGCAGGGUAAGCCGGCCCCUAAGGCGAGGCCGAAAGGCGUAGUCGAUGGGAACCAGGUUAAUAUUCCUGGGCCAGGAGAUGGUGACGGAUCCCGAGGGUAGUUCGAUCUUAACGGAUUGAUCGGGCUGCUUAGGGGUCCCUGGAAAUAGCCCUCCACAAGACCGUACCCUAAACCGACACAGGUGGACUGGUAGAGAAUACCAAGGCGCUUGAGAGAACCACAUUUAAGGAACUCGGCAAAAUACCUCCGUAAGUUCGCGAGAAGGAGGCCCGGUUUUUGCGCAAGCAGAGGCCGGGGGCACAAACCAGGGGGUGGCGACUGUUUACUAAAAACACAGGGCUCUGCGAAGUCGUAAGACGACGUAUAGGGUCUGACGCCUGCCCGGUGCCGGAAGGUUAAAAGGAGAGGUGCAAGCCUUGAAUUGAAGCCCCGGUAAACGGCGGCCGUAACAAUAACGGUCCUAAGGUAGCGAAAUUCCUUGUCGGGUAAGUUCCGACCUGCACGAAUGGCGUAACGACUUCCCCGCUGUCUCAAAUGUGGACUCAGCGAAAUUGAAUUGUCUGUGAAGAUGCAGACUUCCCGCGGUUAGACGGAAAGACCCCAUGCACCUUUACUACAACUUCGCACUGGCAUCAGGAUUGCGAUGUGCAGGAUAGGCGGUAGGCUUUGAAGCGGGGACGCCAGUUCCCGUGGAGCCAUCCUUGAGAUACCGCCCUUCGCACUCUUGAUGUCUAACCGCGGCCCGUUAUCCGGGUCCGGGACCCUGCGUGGUGGGUAGUUUGACUGGGGCGGUCUCCUCCCAAAGCGUAACGGAGGAGCACGAAGGUUGGCUAAUCCUGGUCGGACAUCAGGAGGUUAGUGCAAUGGCAUAAGCCAGCUUGACUGCGAGAGUGACGGCUCGAGCAGGUGCGAAAGCAGGUCAUAGUGAUCCGGUGGUUCUGAAUGGAAGGGCCAUCGCUCAACGGAUAAAAGGUACUCCGGGGAUAACAGGCUGAUACCGCCCAAGAGUUCAUAUCGACGGCGGUGUUUGGCACCUCGAUGUCGGCUCAUCACAUCCUGGGGCUGUAGCCGGUCCCAAGGGUAUGGCUGGUCGCCAUUUAAAGUGGUACGUGAGCUGGGUUUAAAACGUCGUGAGACAGUUCGGUCCAUAUCCGGUGUGGGCGUUAGAGCAUUGAGAGGACCUUUCCCUAGUACGAGAGGACCGGGAAGGACGCACCUCUGGUGUACCAGUUAUCGUGCCCACGGUAAACGCUGGGUAGCCAAGUGCGGAGCGGAUAACUGCUGAAAGCAUCUAAGUAGUAAGCCCACCCCAAGAUGAGUGCUCUCCUAUUCCGACUUCCCCAGAGCUUCCGGUAGCACAGCUGAGACAGCGACGAGUUCUCUGCUCCUGUGGAAACACGAAAGCCUCGUUGACAGCUACGC